rnacentral:rRNA from 1 species
ACGGGAGGCAGCAGUGGGGAAUAUUGCACAAUGGGCGCAAGCCUGAUGCAGCGACGCCGCGUGAGCGAAGAAGUAUUUCGGUAUGUAAAGCUCUAUCAGCAGGGAAGAAAAUGACGGUACCUGACUAAGAAGCUCCGGCUAAAUACGUGCCAGCAGCCGCGGUAAUACGUAUGGAGCAAGCGUUAUCCGGAUUUACUGGGUGUAAAGGGAGCGUAGACGGAACAGCAAGUCUGAUGUGAAAGGCAGGGGCUCAACUCCUGGACUGCAUUGGAAACUGCUGAUCUUGAGUGCCGGAGAGGUAAGCGGAAUUCCUAGUGUAGCGGUGAAAUGCGUAGAUAUUAGGAGGAACACCAGUGGCGAAGGCGGCUUACUGGACGGUAACUGACGUUGAGGCUCGAAAGCGUGGGGAGCAAACAGGAUUAGAUACCCUGGUA